GACGAACGCUGGCGGCGUGCUUAACACAUGCAAGUCGAACGGAAAGGCCCUGCUUUUGUGGGGUGCUCGAGUGGCGAACGGGUGAGUAACACGUGAGUAACCUACCCUUGACUUUGGGAUAACUUCAGGAAACUGGGGCUAAUACCGGAUAGGAGCUCCUGCUGCAUGGUGGGGGUUGGAAAGUUUCGGCGGUUGGGGAUGGACUCGCGGCUUAUCAGCUUGUUGGUGGGGUAGUGGCUUACCAAGGCUUUGACGGGUAGCCGGCCUGAGAGGGUGACCGGCCACAUUGGGACUGAGAGACGGCCCAGACUCCUACGGGAGGCAGCAGUGGGGAAUAUUGCACAAUGGGCGGAAGCCUGAUGCAGCAACGCCGCGUGCGGGAUGACGGCCUUCGGGUUGUAAACCGCUUUCGCCUGUGACGAAGCGUGAGUGACGGUAAUGGGUAAAGAAGCACCGGCUAACUACGUG
rnacentral:rRNA from 1 species